rnacentral:rRNA from 1 species
ACAUGCAGUCGAGCGGACAGAUGGGAGCUUGCUCCCUGAUGUUAGCGGCGGACGGGUGAGUAACACGUGGGUAACCUGCCUGUAAGACUGGGAUAACUCCGGGAAACCGGGGCUAAUACCGGAUGGUUGUUUGAACCGCAUGGUUCAAACAUAAAAGGUGGCUUCGGCUACCACUUACAGAUGGACCCGCGGCGCAAUAGCUAGUUGGUGAGGUAACGGCUCACCAAGGCAACGAUGCGUAGCCGACCUGAGAGGGUGAUCGGCCACACUGGGACUGAGACACGGCCCAGACUCCUACGGGAGGCAGCAGUAGGGAAUCUUCCGCAAUGGACGAAAGUCUGACGGAACAACGCCGCGUGAGUGAUGAAGGUUUUCGGAUCGUAAAGCUCUGUUGUUAGGGAAGAACAAGUACCGUUCGAAUAGGGCGGUACCUUGACGGUACCUAACCAGAAAGCCACGGCUAACUACAUGCCAGCAGCCGCGGUAAUACGUAUGUGGCAAGCGUUGUCCGGAAUUAUUGGGCGUAAAGGGCUCGCAGGCGGUUUCUUAAGUCUGAUGUGAAAGCCCCCGGCUCAACCGGGGAGGGUCAUUGGAAACUGGGGAACUUGAGUGCAGAAGAGGAGAGUGGAAUUCCACGUGUAGCGGUGAAAUGCGUAGAGAUGUGGAGGAACACCAGUGGCGAACGCGACUCUUUGGUCUGUAACUGACGCUGAGGAGCGAAAGCGUGCGGAGCGAACAGGAUUAGAUACCCUGGUAGUCCACGCCUUACACAAUGAGUGCUAAGUGUUAGGAGGUUUCCGCCCCUUAGUGCUGCCACUUACGCAAUAUGCACUCCACCCGGCGAGUACGGUCGCAGGACUGAUACUCAGAGGAAUUGAAGGGCGCCCGCAAAAGCUGUGGACCAGGUGGUUUUAAUUCGAAGCAGCCCGCAGAAACUUAACCGGGUCUGGACGUCCUCUAAAAAUCCCAGGGAUUUGAAGUUCCCCUUCGGGGGGGAAAUGACCAGUGCGGGAAGGGUUUU